CUCACUCAACGAAUGACUAAUGACUUAUUAAUAAGACUCUGAACAUUCCCUACAAUCCUUUUUAGACCAUCACUUUAAAUAAAAAAAAAAAAAUAAAAAAUAAAAAGCCAACUUACCACUUCACAAAAUCUUGACCUAAAAAAACACAAGUAGUGUGAAAAGAGCAUGAGUCUGACGUUGCCAAUACCUCAAUCAAGAUAUCAAAAAGGGAUUCCCAGACACGUAAGUCAUACAGUCACAUCCUCUUGCUCUCACCUCUAUAAGAGAAGAGAGGCGGUAUGGUAUAAAAGACAGUGACAGCACCGAGUAAACUGAACUUGAAAACUCAAAACCAGGCAAAUAGACUGGAACCACGCACGACGACAUGAACGUCUUCAUAUUUUUCUUCCUGAGCACCGCAGUGGUUACUGCAGCACCUCAUACGGCAUCUACAUCAGACAAACAUCAGCAGAAAAGUGGAAAGGCGGUCAACUUCACCAACCAUGAAUGCCACCGGAAAUCUCAAGAAGGCAAGAAAGAAGGCCAACAUCUUUUAAAAGAUAUCAUGCAUCAUGUGAAAAACUUGAAAAUGAACCUAACAGCGAAGACACUUCAGAAACAAGUCCAACAUGUUUUUAUGAAUGAAGAAUGCAGUUGUGAGACGCUCUGCAAAGCAGGGAAGGUUCUCACAGCAUACAACACAUCGGACCUCGGACUGAAGAGUCAGCGGGACUGGAGGCUGCACAGAAUGCUUCAAUCUUACUCAGAACAGAACUGCUCAUACCCAGAGGAGCUAAGCACGGUUUCACUUGACGAGCUUUUGGAUAAAAUACACAGCUGUGCCCAGAAGGAGUUUGCAAAUUAUUUUAAAAAAAAAAAUGUAUUGUAAUAUUUAUAUGUAUUUAUAUAUCUUUAUACUAAUACAUUAUUUAUGGGAAUGUGUUUAUACUUUAGUAAUUUAUUUGUAAACUGAUUUACAUAUUUAUGAAUAAAAUAUUUAUGCAC
ensembl:lncRNA